GCAAGGUUAAAACUCAAAUGAAUUGACGGGGGCCCGCACAAGCGGUGGAGCAUGUGGUUUAAUUCGAUGCAACGCGAAGAACCUUACCUGGUCUUGACAUCCACAGAACUUUCCAGAGAUGGAUUGGUGCCUUCGGGAACUGUGAGACAGGUGCUGCAUGGCUGUCGUCAGCUCGUGUUGUGAAAUGUUGGGUUAAGUCCCGCAACGAGCGCAACCCUUAUCCUUUGUUGCCAGCGGUCCGGCCGGGAACUCAAAGGAGACUGCCAGUGAUAAACUGGAGGAAGGUGGGGAUGACGUCAAGUCAUCAUGGCCCUUACGACCAGGGCUACACACGUGCUACAAUGGCGCAUACAAAGAGAAGCGACCUCGCGAGAGCAAGCGGACCUCAUAAAGUGCGUCGUAGUCCGGAUUGGAGUCUGCAACUCGACUCCAUGAAGUCGGAAUCGCUAGUAAUCGUGGAUCAGAAUGCCACGGUGAAUACGUUCCCGGGCCUUGUACACACCGC
rnacentral:rRNA from 1 species